GAGUUUGAUCCUGGCUCAGGACGAACGCUGGCGGCGUGCUUAACACAUGCAAGUCAAGGGGGCCCAGCAAUGGGCAACCGGCGAACGGGUGCGUAACACGUGAGCAACCUACCGAGAUAUGGGGGAUAGCCGGCCUAACGGCCGAGUAAUACCGCAUACGCUCUCGAUGAGGCAUUUCAUUGAGAGGAAACCUACGGGGUAUUUCGAGGGGCUCGCGGCCUAUCAGCUAGUUGGCGAGGUAACGGCUCACCAAGGCAACGACGGGUAGCUGGUCUGAGAGGAUGGCCAGCCACAUUGGGACUGAGAUACGGCCCAGACUCCUACGGGAGGCAGCAGUGGGGAAUCUUGCGCAAUGGCCUAACGGCUGACGCAGCGACGCCGCGUGUGGGAUGAAGCUCUUCGGAGUGUAAACCACUGUUGCCCGGGACGAAUAGCUCGAUUAAUCGAGCCUGACAGUACCGGUGAGGAGCACCGGCUAACUCCGUGCCAGCAGCCGCAGUAAC
rnacentral:rRNA from 1 species